AGUGGCUGGUGGCAUUUUGGGAUGGUGGAGCUGCUUAGAAUGAAAGCUGUAUCACACCAUAAUUAAUUGAUUCUAGAUUACUCCUGUUGCAUAAUCAUGUUCAGCCUGGGCUUGUCAAUGCUGUGCGCUCUCUUAUCAGUUAUUAUCAAGCAACAGGGAGUCCAGGUGCACAUGUAAACCGACUGGAGUGGGAAAUGCUAACUCCUUCCCUAUCUCUGCUAUUGCCUAAAACAAGACGUUGUUAUUACAGUGGCAUCUGCAGAUCCCUGCUGAGACUGAAUGCAUACCGACAGACAGUCCUCGCCCCAGAGUGCUCACAGCCCUAAUAACUGUUUGGUUCCAGCAGUGUAAUAGGAAAUAAUUCUCAUUUCCUGCAUUUUAAGGAGCGUGGCAGGCUUUGCUUUCCAACUUACCAGCAGCUCUGCAACUUCCACUUGCGGUGGUCCAAAGUACCAGACCGGAGUGGGCCAGAGGUGUUGCCUACAUGAAGAGGGAGGCUUGGCAUGGCAGGGAUGUGCUUCAUUGUGUUACAAGAAACCUUUAAUGAAAUGAGGCCUGGGGCAGUUGGAGUCACCUAUAAGGGAACCAGGCAAGAAAAAGCAAGUGGUCCAUGAAGUGGCCCCAACGAGGCUCUGUGUAUUCAAAUGCUGCCACGCUCAGCUCAUCGCUGCUUGGCUGUGCAUGCCUCAAAAGCAUUCCUUAUGGAUUACCUCCUGCAUGGUCAGCAUUCAUUAUCAGAUGUCACCCCAGGGAAAUACGCUUCUGUGCUUAGGGGCAAGGAAGAAAACAACCCCCAACUCUUAAUAUCUGCACCUCCAGGGCCACUCAUCAAUUCCCCCGGCAUCCUGACAUCCAAGGGAAGGCCAGUGGAAACAUUUUGUGAUCAGGCAAAAUGGGGAAAAACACAGCAUACAGAGAAUGCUGUUCAUGCCUGUGGGGAGGAGGAAGCGCUAUCUCGUUUUCCAUGGUGACUAAAUCAUGUGGGCUGGAUUUUCAAAGUUUAUCGUAUUCUAAGCGCCCUCGAGAUGCACCUGACGCAGUGUUAUUUCCAGGUACGCAGCUCGCCAGGGCAGUGUGGCAUCAUGUACGCGCAGCUCUGCAAC